AAGGGGAUAGUUUAAGUAAAACUUAGGCUUUGGGUGUCUAAGAUGUCAAAUUUUUUGGCUCUUCUUA
rnacentral:tRNA from 1 species